rnacentral:sRNA from 1 species
ACCGGGCGCGGAGGUGCACGCCUGCCAUCCUGGCACUCGGGAGGCUGAGGCAGGAGGAUCACGAGUUCAAAGCCAGCCUCGGAAAGCGAGGCCCUAAGCAACUCAGUGAGACCCUGUCUCUA